GUUUUUUUUUCCUUUUUAUUUAUCUUACUACUGGGCAAUACAGGUCUCUCGUCUUUCUCCUGAAGCUCCCUCCACUCUCUCUUACAAAUGAACAACAACAACAUGUGUAUUCUCCUACAAUCAUCAUUACAAUAAUAACAAUGUUCUGUCCAUCGUGUUAGGUUUUCGUGUAGAUAGGAGUGUGAAGAAGAAGCAUGGGUAGCAGCUCUCAGGCGAUCCGCUAUCCAGUUGCAACAACCGGUGCCGGAAAUAUUGAUGCUCUUAAUAGAGUUCUUGCUGACCUUUGCACCAGAAGCAAUCCUAAGGUUCUUCCGUAUCUUUCAACUUUUAUUUUUUGGGAGUCUUUUGUUGGAUUUUAAAGAUCUGAAGUUCGAGUAGCUUAGGGAAUCUUGAUGUGACCUCUGUAUUGUUUGUGUUCUUUUUUUUUGGGUGUUGUUACAUUUGUUGAAUUGUUGAGUAAGUGGAAACAGAAAUUUAAUGAUAGAUUUUGAUUUUCCUAGGAAUUGAUGAAAAUCAAAGAAGAUUCUAAGGUUCUUGAUUUUUUGUUGAAUUUUUUAAGAUCAGUAGUGGAGUUAGAAUAGUUCAGGAGAUUUAGAUUUGUUGAGUUGGUGAAUUGGUGAGGUAGUGGAACCAAACAUUUACUGGUGUGAUUUUGAUUUUAUUAGAAAUUGAUGAAAAUUAUAGGACAUAAUUAGACAUUUCUCAGGAAGUGUUGGAUGUUGUUAUUUGAAACCUUGUAUAUGUAAAAGAUUGAAAAUAGAAAGAAAGCAGAAUGCUACAGUUUAUUUUUGGGCACAUUUAUUUAUUUUUUGAUUUGUGUGGAAGAAGAAAGACCAGCUUGUGGGAUUACACGUAGUUUGUUGGCUAAUCCAGUUUGAAAUCAUGGCACUACAUAGACGUAACUAUUUACUGUUUUGUAUUCAAAUCUUCUCCUAUAUGCCUCUUGCUAAUUAUGCUUAUUUAUUUUCCUUCUCCAUGAAUCAAGAGAGAUGGAUAGGUCCUGAUUUUAAAUUUAUAUCAACCAUCUUAGUGAACUUUUUGGUUUGAAAAAUAAUGUGAAUACCAAGUUUUGUUUUUUUUGUUUUCAUUCACUUUCCUUUUUCCAUUUUUCUACCAAAGGUUAGCAGAGCAGUUUUUUGCACUGGCUGCUUGAUAUUGAUACUGAUGCGAGUUUCUGUCUUAAUCAUUUAAUANN
rnacentral:lncRNA from 1 species